rnacentral:rRNA from 1 species
CCUACGGGAGGCAGCAGUGAGGAAUAUUGGUCAAUGGGCUUACGCCUGAACCAGCCAAGUCGCGUGAGGGAAGACUGCCCUAUGGGUUGUAAACCUCUUUUGUCAGGGAGCAACGCCGGCUACGUGUAGCCUGACUGAGAGUACCUGAAGAAAAAGCAUCGGCUAACUCCGUGCCAGCAGCCGCGGUAAUACGGAGGAUGCGAGCGUUAUCCGGCUUUAUUGGGUUUAAAGGGUGCGUAGGCGGAAUGCCAAGUCAGCGGUAAAAUCGCGGGGCUCAACCUCGCUCCGCCGUUGAAACUGGCGUUCUUGAGUGGGCGAGAAGUAUGCGGAAUGCGUGGUGUAGCGGUGAAAUGCAUAGAGAUCACGCAGAACUCCGAUUGCGAAGGCAGCAUACCGGCGCUCAACUGACGCUCAUGCACGAAAGCGUGGGUAUCGAACAGGAUUAGAUACCCCGGGUAGUC